UGGGCGGCUCAUGUUGUAGCUUGGUAGCGGAGCGGCUCCCACUGCAGCUCAAAGGCACUGCAUCCCGACAGCUCGGAGGCACAACAACUCCAUCUGCAUCUCGGUGGCCCGGUAGGUCCUGCUGCAGCUCGGAGCUGCGGAAUCGGCAAAUGGGGUCGUCGUUGCUCGUAUCGGCGAGCCGAAUCCUUGCAGUUGCCACUGUCGCUCCCUGAAGCUGGUGACUUUCCACGGCAAAGGAGGCUCCAGCAAGACCACAACGGCAGCCGUUGCCGCUCAGGAUGUAAGAUGCGGUGACCUUGGCGCCACAACCAUGGAGACAACCAGUCUGGACAUGAUGGUGGCAGGGAUUCAACAGCGAGAAAAGGAGGAGACUCUGAAAAGUAAGCGCAAUUACUAAUCAUUUUUACAGUUGCUGAUUUAGAUUCCGAUUCAUACUCGAAAAUAGGAGGGCUAAAAUUUUGUAUUCAACCGCUAUAAAUAAACUACACAAGAUGAUAGUGAGACUGUGCGUAGAAA